AGUAGCUGGGGGGGUUGGGGAUAAAAGCCCUGGGCGCUUGGAGUGGCGGGUUUAUGACGGCCGGGCGGCUGCAGCUGGGGACGCUCCUGGGGAAGUUGCCUGCUGCGCCCACAGCAGAGCGGGUCCCAAGGUGAGCACAGGAGCCCUGUGUCUGGGGGCCCGGCCAGGGCUCGGCUGGGGCCUGGGGGGCCUGCGUCUGGGGCAAGGGCUGGUCCCAGGCCCCGCCCAAGUCCUGGUUUCACCCAGGCUGGGGUGUCCUCGGUGACCACACGGGACCCAGUUUCGUUUGAAUGUGGGGCCAGGCAGGGGGCAGCUCCUAAUACUGAGUGACAGCAUGAGGAAAUCUGCGCCAGACGCCACCCUGACUGCCCCCUCAGUGUCCUGGAAAAUGCCAGGCACCCAGCAGGGGCCAGAGGAGAUGGGAGGCUGACCGAGGUCUGCCCUUCGGGGACACUCAGGGCCAAGGGUCUACCUAUCUGUCUGUUUCCUCACUUUGCACUUUUCCUCAGUGUCCGGUGGGGAAGGGCCAUCGUCUGCCCACCUGCAGGGUGAGGCCUGGGGAUGCAGUGUCCAGGCGCUCUGAGCCCACGGCCUGCGCUGUCCACAGGCUGGGGGGCCCAGAGCCGGCCCCACGCCCCAGGCCUUUCCAAGGAGGACGCCUGCACCUGCCCGACUGUGCUGAGGGCAGCGCUGGGUCCACUGGGCAUCACGGAGGUUGGGGCCCAGACUCCUGCCCCGCGGUCAAGGCUUGCAUCUUCUCUGCUUUUCUGAAUACGACAGCUGGCGCCUGGUGCUCAGAGCCCCCCUGCUCAUCGCCCCUGCCCCCUCACUCUUCCCUCUGCAGUCUGCAAAACCCCAUCUAUUCUCUGGGCCUCCUGUUUCUCUUUCUCUUUCCUCUCCUAGUUUUAUUAACAUUAGCCUGACGUACAACCUCAUAUGAGGUUAAGGUGUACCACGCGGUGCACGUGAGGACCAGGUACCGCCUCUCGCUCCGCGUUUGCCCCCUGCCCCUCAGAAGCCCGCGUCCCUGGCCCCAGGCGCGCACCCCACUACUCCCCACCCCCAGCCCCGGCCUUCUGCCUCCAGGGAGAAAGACCACAGCGGGCUGUGCACAGAUCUCAGCAUGGACAUCGAAGCAGUUCUUUCCUUCUCACUCAGCAGGUGCUCCUGACGGAGGAGGGAAAGGAGGCUCUUCCAUGUGGUCAGCUCAACGUGGAGCCUCAGGGCUGGGUGUCCUGGUCCAGCUCUGGGAACUGAAGCCGCAGACGUCAGGGUGGCUGCUCUGGGCCAGGCAGUUACGGGAGACACAGAGUCUGGAGGGAGUCAGGGUGCCGUUGGGAGCAGCAAGUAGAGCCGUGUGGCGCUAGGAGUCUCGACACGGACCCAGACGUGUGCUGGGCCGGCGAGUGUCCGCUGGUCCUGGGUUUGCUGCGCUCCUGCAGGUGUCGGCCCCUGCCGGAACCGGGGACGCUGCUCUCUCUGAAGAGGGCAAACUCACCCAUCCCCACUGGGCCGACUUCAUUCUCACCCACACGCUUCUGUCUGUUACAGCUGGCUUGUCUAUGCACUUACACGCCACCUGUGUUCAAGUGGGAUUCGAGGCAGUCGGUGGGUGGUGGAGCAGCACCAGAAACCAGAGCAGGGGAGUGGCUCCGAGCUGCGUGUUGGCGGCUCCCCUCCCUGCCCUGUCCCCACGCGCAGCCUUGCUCAGGUGUGCUCAGCUUUCCCGCAUCAGGAGUGCUCUGCCUCCUUCUGGGCUGAGGACUGCUGGCCCUGCUCCAAGGUCCAGCAUGGUCACCCUCCCCCACCACAUCCAGCGUCCACAGUUGGGGCCGAUGCCUCCCCUGCGCCCUCAGAGCGCCCAUGAGCCCCUCCAGAGGGAGGCCCCGACCUCAUCCCCGAGUCCCCAGGGGCUGGGGCAGCGCCCCCACCAAGUGUUCGCUGCUAACAAUUACAUUGCACUUAAUUAUGUGCCGGGACCGUGUUCUCUCAUUUAAGUCUCACAUUUACCCUGCGACUCGUGCUGUUAUUAUGCCCAUUUUACAGAUGAAGAAGCUGAGGUCCUGGAUCCUGCCCCAAGGCCCCUGGAGAGUGGGAGGCAUUUUCUGUGUGUGGCCUUUUCUUGAAAUCAUCUUUCUCCAUAACCAGAUUGUGAGCCCUGGAAGGAACAGGGAGGUCUUCCCAGCUCCCACAGUGCUUUCCCUGCAGGGGGACCUUGGGGACGAUUUCUGGCAGUGGCAGAUGGAGCUCUGCAACGCCCUCAUCAGUGGUUGGUUUGAUCACACGGUGGGACCCGCAGCCACGGGACCCACAGCCAUGGGACUCUCGCUCCCACUUCCACAGCCAGGGAAGCAGCUGCACAGACUUGGGGGCUGCUCAGCCGCAGGGCAAGGGCAGGUGCAGAGCGGACUCCUACACCCGAGUCAUUUCCCUGUUCAUUAAAGAGAGCCACCUCGGUUCUGCAAACAAGGGGAGACCAAGGCCCGGAGCGGGAGAUUUUCCCCAGGACGGUGCUUGGGGUCAUCAGAGCUGCUGUCCUGGAAGGAAGGCUUGGGGACAUCCUUCCUCCUGACUCUGCCGUGAGCACGGCCUUGGUUCGGACUCCCCGGGGCAGCCAAGACUCCCAGCCCAUAGUGGCCACUCUCAACCAGGGGCACGGUGCCCUCCUCACCUCGGGGACACGGGCCAGCUCUAGAGACAUCCUGAUUGUCAUCCUGGGGCCCACACCAAGGAAUCACCUGGCCUCAAGCGUCAGAAGUGCUGAGGCUGAGAACCUGCCCAACUCAGAUGGGGAGGGAAGACCCGAACUAUCCCCCCACGCCCCUGGGCCUCGUCGAGAGGGGCGUUCGGGCCUCAGGCCCGGCCUCGGCACCUUUACUCCGCCGCCUGCACCGUCCACUUCCCAUCUGAUGUUUCCCUCUGGCCUCCCACAGAAUUCAAAACCCGAAAUGAUUUUAUUGAGCACCAGAGGGGCCACAGUGGAAUGCUGAUGUUUCAUGUCCUACCUUACUUUAACGCUGCCUCCUCACUUAACCUCACCUGGAAGAUAAAGAGGGGUUACAUUUUACCAGUGAGGCCACCGAGGCUCAGAGAGGUUGUGUAACAGGUCCAAGGUCACACAGCCAUGCCGGGCUCCAGCCCAGCUCUCCUGCUGCUCCCACGAAACAGCACGGAGCUGUGCAGACGAAUAUGACACAGUCGGCAAGUGGAAGGCAGUUUGUUUUCCUCAAAAAAGACCAUCCCCUGCGUUGUGACCAGGAGAGCAGGCCAAGCUCCGAGGAAACGCACAAGCCUGCAGGCAAAGACAGGCUGGUGUAUCCUCCUAGUCGCAGGGCCUUCAGCUUCUCAGAACACGGGCCGGGCCGACUGGAGAAAUGCCAGGCAGUCCAGGCCGAUCCCUGGGCGGCGAUGCCCGAAGGCCCAGCCCUGCAGUUCCUGCCCCAGACUUUCUCCAUGAGGAAAUCCAGCACCUGCCCCCGAUGCUCCGGAGCUGGCUGGGGUCCAGCCACCACUCUCUGUGCUGCUGGCGGCGUCAGCCCAGAUGACACUCUGCCCCCGCGGUGCCAGCGUGGGGUUUUCUGGUCAGUGCAGGCAGCCAGCCUUCUGGGGUUGACUUUGUUGUUUGCUUGUGUCCAUUGGUUUUUUUCUUUCUUAGGGUGAUUAGGUUCAUGUAUUUAUUUAUUUUAGAGGAGGUGCUGGGGCUUGAACCCAUGACCUCGGGCAUGCUAAUCAUGCACUCUGCCACUUGAGCUGUACCCUCGCCCCUGAUUUUUUCUUUAAUCGAGCACCUAUUGUGUGCGAGGCCCCGUGGCAGUGAUGGGGACUUGGGCGGCACAGGAGCCAGCAUGACCGUCCUCCUCAGGGAGCUUACCGCCUCCGAAUGUGUCCGUCAAGGCUGCGCUUCUGGCCACUUCUUUUCCCAUAAGAGCUGAGCGAUAAUUUGGUCUCAUUCCAUAAAGUAGUUCACUGGUAUUUUAUGAAGUUUGUGCUAAAUCUGUUAGUUGUCCUGGGAAACAUCACCCUCAGGGUUUUUUUCUUUUAACUUUAAAAUUCCUAGAAAAUCAUACUGACUUGCUGUUUUUUUAUUAUUUUAAUUUUUAAAAAUUUUUGUCCCAUUUUUUUUAGUUGAGGUAU